rnacentral:ncRNA from 2 species
AACCCAUACAAAGCGCCAUGUGCCUGCCGCUUCCCGGCAGGAUAACGAGGAGGAGAGAGUAUCGAGCCUUCGGCGGGAGCUCUCCCGCGCCGUCCGGGCGCGCACGCAGCGGGCAAAUAUGCGGGCGACCGCAAAACAGAGAUGCUGCGACCGGAGAAU